rnacentral:tRNA from 1 species
GAGGGUAUAGCUCAAGUCGUAGAGUGCGUGCUUAGCAUGCAUGAGGUCCUGGGUUCAAUCCCCAGUACCUCCU